AUAAGAACAACUUUGUGUAUAUAUCUUAUGGAGGGAGAAAAUAUUGAGUGAGAUAUGGAGUAAAUGGUCUCGAGCUACAAGUCUAUAUAUAAAGAUAUAAUUGGGUACGCUUUUGUACACCAAAACUGAGAGGAGAAGAAGAUCAUAGUGUCUAGUCUAAUGGAAGGCAAAGCUAUUCUUCUUUGCCUCAUGGUGAUUGUGCAGCUCGGAAAUUCCAUUCAUGUUGAGCAAUGUUUUAGUGGAGUUGCAUUUGGAGCUCAUGUAUGUAGGGAAUCACAAUGUCGGUUGUCCUGCGAGCAAAAAUGGGGAAAAGAUAUCCUGAAUUCUUUCUGUAGGGUCGAUAUCCCAAACUAUCUCCAUUGUUACUGCAUAGUCUGUAUCACCUAGAGUUGCACUAUGAAGUCAUGUCCAACAAUGGAUAAUGUAGGUCAAGUAAUGAAACCUUCUUAUGGUAUGCAUGUAAUAUCCAACAAUGGAAUUAUUUAGGUGUUCUUGAUA